CCAUCCCAAGGAAAAUAAGACUUUAUUUCAACGUCAUUACACUUUCGUGGGUCUGAAGGCAGGAGUGAACUACACCGUUACAGUUUACACUGUCAAUGGUGAACUGAUCAGUGAUCCUGCUAUAAAGUCAGAAUACACCAAGCCUACUAUGCCUGCUUGGGUAGAUGCCACUACCAGCACAAAAAGCAUAAAUGUAUACUGGGGAGCUCCAAAUGCAUCACAGGGUGCAACGAUUAAUUAUACAGUGGAAUAUCAUACGCCUUUUUGGAACAACUCUGUUCAAAUAUAUACAACUGAUACAAACGCCAACUUUCCUGGUUUAAAACCAGGAACGAGAUAUGACAUUAAUGUCCGUGUCGUGGCAGGCAAUUUGAGUGAUCCAGCAACUUAUCAUGCAUACACAGUGCCUGAGAAGAGGACACUGGUGCUCACAAUGUUGUGUUCCUCUAAAACGGCGCUUCAUUGUGCCAAAAAUGACACUCAGAAAGAACUGUUUGAAGCGCUAAAUAACACAUUUUAUAAAAAAUUUGAAGACAUGGUCCACUGGAAUCUGAGAUGGGCAAAAAAAUAAUAAAGAGACAACGUCCUUUGAAUCCCUAUGACGUGGCCUGCUGUAACUAAGAGAAAAACCACAUACUGCAAUGCAUUGUGACUUCUGAUUUUGUUUUCUUACAUUUAAAUGAAAGCAUUAAUCCAAAUCGUUUUCUGUGUGGGU